GCCAUGGUGGUUCAGUGGUAGAGUUCUCGCCUUCCACGCAGGAAACCUAGGUUCAAUCCCCAGCCAGUGCA
rnacentral:tRNA from 1 species